UGGUGUGGAGGAUGAUACACCCAAAUGGCGAGCCCCAAGAUUGGAUGUGACUGAGAAUUCAGAAGUGUCGAGCGCUCUGGGGCAAGUACAUUGGACAACUGUGCAAGUCUCUUCUCCAGAUAUUUCAUCAUGAAGUCCAAUUAGUGUUUCCAUUCUGCUGAAGUGGUAGGCAAGGGUCCAAUGGGCUUGUAACGAAAAAGGUCACCACUUGUAAUCCCCAGCCACUGCAGGAAAACUGAGCACGACCGUUUGUUUGUGAACCAGUCAGCAUCCCUCUGCUGCCCUGUCAGAGUAAUUCCUCCCAGGAGCACAGGAAAGUCAUCUGCACCAGACCUGCAGGCACA